AUGUCGUCGUCCCUGGCGUCCUCCUCGUACCGCCGCAGGAUCCUCGACUCCAAAGCGGCGGCCUCCCACGCGCUCUACUCCUCUCGCCUCCCCUCCCGCUCCAGGCAGCCGGCCCACACCAGGAUUGGCGCCGCCGCCAGAGCUCAUGGAGUUGAGAAUAGCAUCAUCAGUGUCCUAACUAUGCAUCACUGGGAGACCUUGAAUCACAUGGCGUACAAGUUUGGGAAGCUUGACAAGGUUCAUGGAAAGCUAGCCUUGAAGAUACUGGGUUCUAUUGUGCAACAAUCAGGUUUGGAGCGAAUCACUCAUGUUUACUGCCUGGCUGCUCAUAUCCUCAUCCAAGCUCAAAUGCAUUCACAAGCAAUGUCAGUGCUGAAGCAUCUUGCCAUGGCGGGCUUCUCUUGCUCUGCUAUAUUUAGCUCCCUUCUCCGAACCAUCUCGCGUUGUGAUUCCAAUCCCAUGGUUUUUGACCUUCUUAUCAAUGCAUAUCUGAAGGAAAGAAAAGUUGUUGAUGCAAGUAAGGCAAUUUUGUUGAUGGAUAACUGUGGAUUUAAGGCUUCAACUCACACCUGCAAUGCUGUCCUUAAUGCUCUUGUGGAAGUUGGGGAAUCAAAACAUGUUUGGUUCUUCUUAAAAGAGAGCUUGGCCCGGAAGUUCCCAUUGGAUGUCACCACUUGUAAUAUUGUACUGAAUUAUUUUUGCCUUGAUGGUAACCUUGGAAAGGCUAAUCUUAUGCUACAAAAGAUGAAGAGUCGGUCCAUAUCAAACGUUGUUACUUAUAACACAAUACUUUACUGGUAUGUUAAGAAGGGAAGGUUCAAGGCUGCCAUGCGUGUCUUAGAAGAUAUGGAGAAGAAUGGUGUAGAGGCAGAUGUAUAUACUUAUAACAUCAUGAUUGAUAAGUUAUGCAAAAUGAAGAGGAGUACGCGUGCUUACCUUUUGCUCAAAAAAAUGAGGGGAAAUAACUUAUCACCUGAUGAGUGUACAUAUAAUACUUUGAUCAAAGGAUUUUUCGAUGAAGGUAAGAUGAAACUUGCUAUCUAUAUCUUCAAUGAAAUGCUGAAACAGAGCUUGAAGCCAAGCCUAGCUACUUACACUACCUUGAUUGAUGGGUACUGCCGAAGUGGGGUAACUGGUGAAGCUUUACGAGUUCUGUAUGAAAUGCAAGUUGCUGGUGUGAAACCAAGUGAACUAACUUAUAGUGCAAUGCUGAAUGGUUAUUGCAAAGCUUCCAUGCCGGGACAUGCACUGAAUCUUAUUGAAGAUAUGAAAGCAAGAGGCACAGCAAUCAAUAGGACUAUGUAUACUAUCCUGAUUGAUGGUUUCUGUCAGCUAGGAGUGGUUUCUAAAGCCAAGCAAAUUUUAAAGAGUAUGCUUGUGGUUGGGAUCAAUCCAGAUGUUGUUACUUAUUCAGCAUUGAUCAAUGGUAUGUGCAAGAUGGGUAAGUUGGACGAAACAAAAGAGAUUUUGUCAAGGAUGCAAAAAACAGGAGUUUUGCCUAAUGAGGUUCUUUAUACAACUCUAGUUUGCUAUUGUUGCAAGGCUGGGUAUGUCGGAGAAGCACUAAAGUAUUUUGUGGAUAUCUAUCGGAGGGGCCUAGCUGCCAAUUCAUUCAUCCACAAUACAUUGUUAUGUGCACUGUAUCGAGAAGGAAUGGUUACACAGGCUGAGCAAUUUAAACAAUACAUGUCUAGGAUGAAGAUAUCAUUUGAUGUUGCCUCUUUCAACUGUAUAAUAGACUUUUACUGCACCAGAGGUAAUAUGCAUGAGGCAUUCUCAGUGUAUGAUAAUAUGCAUAGAUAUGGUUGUUCUCCAAAUGUUGACACAUAUAGGAAUUUGCUUAGAGGGUUAUGCAAGGGCGGCUACUUGGUACAAGCAAAGGAGUUCAUGGCCUGCCUUGUUGACAUACCUUAUGCCAUUGAUCAGGAAACCUUCAAUGCAUUACUUCUGGGGAUUUGCAAAGACGGAACUCUAGAUGAAGCUCUGGAUUUAUGUGAGAAAAUGGUUACAAGUAACUUUCUACCUGACAUCCAUACUUACACUGUUCUUCUUAGUGGUUUUUGCAGAAAAGGCAAAAUUGUUCCUGCAAUCAUCCUGUUGCAGAUGAUGUUGGAGAAAGGGUUUGUCCCUGAUAUUGUUACAUAUACCUGUUUGUUGAAUGGCUUGAUCAAGGAAGGCCAAGUUAAGGUUGCUUCUUACCUGUUCCAGGAGAUCAUAUGCAAGGAAGGUAUGUAUGCAGAUUGUAUUGCCUACAACUCAAUGAUGAACGGGUACCUAAAGGCAGGAAUGAUACAUAAAGUAGAUAUGACGAUUCGGGAUAUGCAUCAUAAUGAGGUUUAUCCAAACCCAGCCAGCUAUAACAUUCUUAUGCAUGGGCACAUCAAGAAGGGACAUUUGUCAAGAUCUGUUUAUCUAUACAAAGAUAUGGUAAGGAAAGGGAUUAGGCCAAACAAUGUGACAUAUCGUUUGCUUAUCCAUGGAUUUUCAAAACAUGGUAUGACUGAAAUUGCGAUUAAGUUCUUGGACAAGAUGGUCUUAGAACGCAUUUAUCCGGAUAGAUUAACAUUUGAUGUACUCAUAACUGUAUGUAGUGAGAAAUCUAGGAUGUCCAAUGCUUUACAGCUCUUCAACUGCAUGAAGCGGUUAUAUAUGUCACCUAGCAGUAAAGCAUACAGUGCCAUGAUAAAUGGAUUGAUCAGGAAAAAUUGGCUGCAGCAGAGUUGUGAUGUUUUACGUGACAUGGUCGAGAGUGGACUUGAACCGAAUCAUACACACUAUAUUGCGUUAAUCAAUGCAAAAUGCAGGCUUGGGGACAUCAAUGGAGCAUUCAGGCUGAAAGAGGAAAUGGCAGCUCUUGGUGUUGUGCCAGCUGAAGUUGCUGAAAGCUCAAUUGUUAGAGGCCUUAGUAAAUGUGGAAAGGUUGAAGAGGGUAUCAUAGUUUUCUGUAGCAUAAUACGUGCUGGAAUGGUGCCAACAAUUGCUACUUUCACUACCCUAAUGCAUGGUCUCUGUAAAGAAGGCAAGAUUGCGGAUGCUCUGCACCUCAAAGGGUCAAUGGAGUUGUAUGGAUUGAAGAUUGAUGUAGUCACUUAUAAUGUUCUAAUCACAGGUUUAUGCAACAACCAGUGUGUUUCUGAUGCAUUAGAUCUUUAUGAAGAGAUGAAAUCUAAGCAACUUCGGCCGAACAUUACAACAUACACCACAAUGAUUGGGGCUAUCUGUGCAACAGGCAGAAUAUUGGAAGGACAGAAACUACUGAAUGAUAUAGAGGAUAGGGGCUUUGUUCCCUCAUAUAAGGAUCAAAUUCUCGAAUGGAGGAUGGAGAAUGCAAUGAGAAGGUUAAACAUUAUAAGAAAUUGCAGAAAAGAAAUAACUUCUAAGAAUGAGGUCGAACUAUUACAUGCAGAUCAUGAAUCCAUGCAUGAAGCUGCUGAAGACUGA
rnacentral:rRNA from 1 species